UACGUAGGAUGCGAGCGUUAUCCGGAAUUACUGGGUGUAAAGGGAGCGCAGGCGGGACUGCAAGUUGGAUGUGAAAUGCCGCAGCUUAACUGCGGAGCUGCAUCCAAAACUGUAGUUCUUGAGUGGAGUAGAGGCAAGCGGAAUUCCGAGUGUAGCGGUGAAAUGCGUAGAUAUUCGGAGGAACACCAGUGGCGAAGGCGGCUUGCUGGGCUCUAACUGACGCUGAGGCUCGAAAGUGUGGGGAGCAAACAGG
rnacentral:rRNA from 1 species